rnacentral:rRNA from 1 species
UACAGAGGUCUCAAGCGUUGUUCGGAUUCAUUGGGCGUAAAGGGCGCGUAGGCUGCGGGGCAAGUCGGGUGUGAAAUCUCAGAGCUCAACUCUGAAACUGCACUCGAUACUGCUUUGCUUGAGGACUGGAGAGGAGAUUGGAAUUCACGGUGUAGCAGUGAAAAUGCGUAGAUAUCGUGAGGAAGACCAGUGGCGAAGGCGGAUCUCUGGACAGUUCCUGACGCUGAGGCGCGAAGGCCAGGGGAGCAAACGGG